AAUGUGAUAACCGAUAACAUUGUUCAGAAUUCAGAUUUCAGAUUUCAAAAUUCAAAUUAUUCAGUGAAGGCGAAUAAGAGGAAAAUUAUCAAGUUUUGGGAUGAAAAUUACCAGAAGAAGGAAAAAAUAUCACUUGAAAACGUCCAAGGCACGUAUGAUUUUCCACUCGAAUCGAUGGUAAUCAGAUCUCAAAAUGGCUGAGAACUGGACUGAUGUCUACGACUUUGUUUUUCCGAGUCCGCCAGCUCUACAACAACUCGCAGCCAUCGCAGUAGCAGUGAAAGUAUGGCGUGAACAAGUCUGUGAGCAUCGUUUAAAUAAUACAUUGGGUAAUUUCGGGGGAGAGUCGAUCAUUUCCCUGGAUAGCGUUCGCCCUCAUCUACCAUCAACAAUUCUUCCUAUCAUUGAAAGUUAUACUACGUACAUACAGGGUUCAUUAUUCAGAUGGGAUGACGAAUUUCGUCGGCCGUGGCUCAUGGACAGUCUGAGUACAUUUGACGAUAUUGUUUGUGAUGUUGAUGGCAGUGUCAAUUAUGAUCGUACUGCGAGACGAGCAUUACUCUGCGAAGGAAUCAGUGACGUUGAUAAAUUUGAAAUUGCUUGUAGGUAUUGUCUAGAGGAUGAUAUAAUGCGACUGUGGCCUUCUGUGUCGAAUUCAGAAUCCCUGAACUUGAGUGAUGAUAAUUUUUCGUUCAUCAAUUUUCAUAGAAAUUCUUUAUUGUAUUACUGGAUUUGCCGUCUUAGAAACGAGUUGCAUAGAAUUCCCAUUUUUUACGGCGAAUAUGACACAAUCGAUGAACAUCUAAUCGAAAUUCUUCGCGCUGAUAAUUGGUCGUCUGUAAGGUACUUUUGGUAUGAUUUAAAAAAGGUUGAAAGUCGAGUACCUAAUGCGCGGUACCUAUAUAACAGACAAACUAUUAUAUUCUGCAGGUAUGUACUUGCUAAGUUGAGCGAGGAAGAACUAAAUACUUUAAUAGGCAAUCCGGAUGAAUAUGGAUUCAUGUAUUUUAUACUUAAGAAAUGGAACAUCGAUUGUACAUUCUAUGGAACGGAAAUACCAAGAUCCUGCAUUUUAACAACAUGGCACCUUGUUGGACAUAAAAUAAACAAUGAGGAAUUUAAUCGUAUUGUUGAGGAGAUUUUUCGUACUCAGAAUUACUCUUAUGUUAAUACCGUUGGUGAAAUGUCGAACGACGAGUCUUUCUCUCGCGAGUUCUGGAAUCUUACUCCAGAUCAUUUGAAACGGUGGAUGUUUCAAGUUGGUUUACUUGAUCGAUCUUUUUUCGAGAUCGAUAACUUUCCUUGUGCCAAGGUUAGAAAUAAUUGGCUUUUAAUCGCCAUUUUGGAGGAUGCUCCGUUUGAAGCCAAGAGUUCGUUUUGGUGUGCAAAUUGGCGCACCAUACUAUAGUUGCCACAACACCAACUGAUUUGCAACGAAUAAUGAAUUUAUGCAUGAAGAACGAAAGCGAAGUUAAUCUGUUCAAAAAUAAUAAUUUAUCUAAAUACGAAAAUAUCAGGGUCAAUUGCUCGAUGCUUAUGGAACAGUCGCGUUGGAAAGAUUUGGAGGAAUUUUUGAAUUUUUGUUGCUCGGAAAAGGAAACCAAUUUAGCUUUGCGGAUGAAAUGUUUAAACGGCCAUUUAAAUUUGCUCCGAAAUUCGUCUGAUCUUUUUUGCAAAAAAAUCCUCAAGAAUAUUCUUCCAUUUAGUACGUUCGUCGAUGAUACUUAUUGUAACGAUCUCACUCGGGCCGCUGAUUUUAAAAAUCGCUUUCUGCUUUCACCUCGAACGAUGCGAAAUUUGAGCCAAUGUGUAGUAUGGAAUAAACUCGAGAAAGUAAUGGAAUUUGUCGAUACGUUCGUGACGUCUGAGCAAGCGGCUGUUGAUUUCAAAGAGAAUAAUUUUCUGCCAGCUUUAAGUAAUCAAUUUCCUUGUUACAGAAACGAUUUAUCGUUUUGAAUUCGAGUGUGACGCAUUUGAAAGGUUUAUGCGUUGGUGUUUAGGUAGUGAUGAUAAAAUUGAAAAUUUUAAAUCAACAGUACCCGUUGAGGACAUCAUUCGACGUGUUGCUCAAUACUCAGAUGCUCGCCUUCUUCACGCUGAAGAUAUGUCAUUUAAAUCUUCUGAAGAGCGCCACGCAAAAGACUUAUAUUUUAGUCUGCAUAAAUUUUUGCAAUGGGUUUUCUCCUCUCCUGAGGAAGUUGCAGAAUUUGAAAAAAAAUUCAGUGGGUUCGAAGAAUAUGUUUCUAAAAAAUGAGAUAUUUUAUGUACCAAUUAUUAUUUCUACGAAAAGACUGCUGUUCAUUUUUUAUUUACCUGUGUUUGAAUUUUUAAUGGAUUUUUAUGCAUAUGUAUUGUGUAUUAUAAUAGUCUGUAAUGUAUUUUAUUGUAUGAAUUUAUGAAAUGAAAUGUUA